UACGUAGGGCGCAAGCGUUGUCCGGAAUUAUUGGGCGUAAAGCGUGCGCAGGCGGCUUUGCAAGACAGAUGUGAAAUCCCCGGGCUUAACCUGGGAACUGCAUUUGUGACUGCAUGGCUGGAGUGCGGCAGAGGGGGAUGGAAUUCCGCGUGUAGCAGUGAAAUGCGUAGAUAUGCGGAGGAACACCGAUGGCGAAGGCAAUCCCCUGGGCCUGCACUGACGCUCAUGCACGAAAGCGUGGGGAGCAAACAGG
rnacentral:rRNA from 1 species